rnacentral:rRNA from 1 species
AGAAUCAACGCUGGCGGCGUGCCUAACACAUGCAAGUCGAACGCGAGAGGGGCUUCGGCCCUGAUUGAGUGGCGAACGGGUGAGUAACGCGUGGGUGACCUACCUUCGAAUGGGGGAUAACGUCCCGAAAGGGACGCUAAUACCGCAUAACAUCCUGCUUUUGAACAGGUGGAGAUCAAAGCUGGGGAUCGUAAGACCUGGCGUUUGAAGAGGGGCCCGCGUCUGAUUAGCUAGUUGGUGAGGUAACGGCCCACCAAGGCGACGAUCAGUA